ACAUCUGCCCUUCAGCUUGCAGUCAACACAGCGAUCAAAGUUGACCUGAUCCCCGAUCUUAACAAGCUCGGUGCUGUAGGAGCUCCCCUGCCGCAGCUUGAUGGUUUCAACUUCACCAAACCUGUCGUAUCCCUGGGAGAGGGGUUUUUGAAGAUCGGGACGGACCUGACCUAUACACCAUAACGUUCCAUUUUCCCGACCCGUGCAACUUGCAUCUAAAAGUCGUACAUGUAUAGUGUACUUAUGGCUUCUGGUAACAGGCGGGUUAAACACGGCAAACGAGAGUCGAUCGACGAAUGAAACUUUACAUCGUAACAGACAGUUGCACGCACCAAAGACCAGAACAUUCAAUCCUCACAAUUAUCACACAGUUAAUCACCUUCUAAGUAGUGCAUUUAGUUCCGGUUUCAAGAAAUUUGCUUUAAACUAUAAGUCGACGACGCAGAUUUAUUCUCACCCGCAGGCUAAUUAAUAACAAUAUUAAUAAUAAUAAUAGUUCGUCCUUAUAUAGCGCAUUUCAGGACCGCAGGCCCUCUCAAUGCGCUUUACAGAUAUAUAUUAUUUAUAUAUAUUAUCAAACUUUAUUAUGUCUUUCAAGUUUGAAUUCUCAAAGUAGUUUUGUCUUUUUUCUCUUUGAUUAUUGAACUGAAUACAGGUAAAUGCAUUUAAACAACUUCUUCAUUUCUCACUUUACUUAUGUUGUAAAAAAAUGUUUUGCCAAUUUUACUUAUUUCAUCAGAAAUAACAUUGUUUAUCAUGUUUGAUCGUGCCACUUUAUUUUGUUUGAAUUUUGAGAUUUAAAAACAAAAUUAUUGGCAUCGUUUAAAGAAAAUAAGGCAAAGCAGAUACAAAUUUUGACUUUCAAAUUACAAGCAGGAUGUAGUAUAUUUAUGUAUCGUUAUGUUUAUAAUAAACAAUAUUGACACAGAA